GAUCCUAGCUCAGGAUGAACGCUGGCGGCGUGCUUAACACAUGCAAGUCGAACGGGAAAUAUUUCAUUGAGACUUCGGUGGAUUUGAUUUAUUUCUAGUGGCGGACGGGUGAGUAACGCGUGGGUAACCUGCCUUAUACAGGGGGAUAACAGUCAGAAAUGGCUGCUAAUACCGCAUAAGCGCACAGAGCUGCAUGGCUCAGUGUGAAAAACUCCGGUGGUAUAAGAUGGACCCGCGUUGG
rnacentral:rRNA from 1 species